rnacentral:tmRNA from 1 species
GGGGGUGACUGGUUUCGACUUGGGACGGUAGUCCCAGGAGAAGCGGGCCGAGGAUCCAGGGACAUCUCGUUAACGAUUCCUGGAAACCAAUAAGUGCCGAAACUCGCACUGACUUCGCUCUUGCUGCCUGAGCAGUAACCGAAGGGUCAGCCCGGACGUAGCCUUCCGUCCGGUCCCUGGCCUCAUCUAGAAGGCUUGCCGCGGGCGCUGGGUUCCAGGGCUCCCGCGGGACGUUACUGGAACUGGGCUCGUCCGCCACGUGCUGACGCGAGGGUGGGAGCCGAGCAGAACGACCAGUCAGCUGCGCCCGGAGAAGUCCUGGUUCACCGCUUGAGGACGCGGGUUCGACUCCCGCCACCUCCACCC